CCUACGGGAGGCAGCAGUGAGGAAUAUUGGUCAAUGGACGAGAGUCUGAACCAGCCAAGUAGCGUGAAGGAUGACUGCCCUAUGGGUUGUAAACUUCUUUUAUAAAGGAAUAAAACGAGGCACGUGUGCCUUUUUGCAUGUACUUUAUGAAUAAGGAUCGGCUAACUCCGUGCCAGCAGCCGCGGUAAUACGGAGGAUCCGAGCGUUAUCCGGAUUUAUUGGGUUUAAAGGGAGCGUAGAUGGGUUGUUAAGUUAGUUGUGAAAGUUUGCGGCUCAACCGUAAAAUUGCAAUUGAUACUGGCAGUCUAGAGUACAGUUGAGGUAGGCGGAAUUCGUGGUGUAGCGGUGAAAUGCUUAGAUAUCACGAAGAACCCUGAUUGCGAAGGCAGCUUACUAAACUGUGACUGACAUUGAUGCUCGAAAGUGUGGGUAUCAAACAGGAUUAGAUACCCCGGUAGUC
rnacentral:rRNA from 1 species